rnacentral:misc_RNA from 1 species
GAUGAAGAACGCAGCGAAAUGCGAUACGUAGUGUGAAUUGCAGAAUUCAGUGAAUCAUCGAAUCUUUGAACGCACAUUGCACCUCUCGGUAUUCCGGGAGGUAUGCCUGUUCGAGCGUCAUUUGUACCCUCAAGCUCUGCUUGGUGUUGGGUGUUUGUUCCGCCUCUGUGUGUGAACUCGCCUCAAAACAAUUGGCAGCCGGCGUACUUGUUUCGGAGCGCAGCACAUUUUGCGAUCCAGAUCAACGUACAGCGGCAUCCAAGAAGCCUUAUUUAACGCUCUUGACCUCGGAUCAGGUAGGGAUACUCGCUGAACUUAAGCAUAUCAAUAAGCGGAGGA